CCCCCACCCCCCAGCAGCAGCUCCAGCUCCAGCACCCCUCCCGCCCCCAAACCGCCUUGGUCCCCCUGUCCUCCCUCACCCCUUUCCAUCUCUAUCUGCCCCGAGCCUGCAGGUAUGGCAAGCAAGACACAGAACAGAUGGUUAUUUUAAGUCUGGGACCCACUCGGUGUGCAUGCCAUCGGGGACAGGUACACGGGACUCCAGAAGGCUGAAAGGUGAAAGGAACUGCCCAAGGACAUAAGAAGACCACCGCUGACCCUGGGAGCAGACCCUGUCAGCUCACCAUCCUCUACGCCCCGCUUACAGAGCUACGCAGCACCACUCUGCUCCAGGCAGCAUGUCCAAAAGCGUGCCUUGGGUUGGCUCACACUUCCCUGGAGCCACCCUUGAGUACAGGCAACACGAAUUCUGCUCCAUCCACUGAGGGUGUGCUAAUGGCGAAGAUUUUUCUGCUCCACCUCUUCCUCCAUGAACAGAAUUGAAGGACAGCCUGUUUGGUGUUGGAUUUCCUUCUUUACCUAAAUAGCCUGAGGCCCAAGGUCAGACAUAUGCCCUCUGCAGCUGACCAGUAUGCACUGAGGAUGUUUCUCUUAGCACAUCUUUCUUUCAUACAGCCAGUUCACAGUGAAUCAGAUCAUUUUGGGUAUGUUGAAACAGUCUUAAUAGUGUGCUUGAGAAACAAAACCCAGGCGGCGUGGUCCCAAAUGCUGGGCAGAGAGCGUGUUGGACAGCACGUGGGCUCCUGCAGAUAGGGCUUAGAACGCUGCGAGUCUGAUGGUCGGCGCUUGAGCUUGUCUCCAGGCACACCUCGGCAGGCUGGCCGCAGCAGCCAUCUGCAAGAAGAAGGAAAAAUUCCAAAAUGUGUGUAGGUAGCUACCCCUGUGGCCUCCUACCAAAGGCUGUGUCCCUUUGCUUGUGGGAAUGUGCUUGUCUUAACCCUUCAAGUCAGAGCAUAAAAUUCUCAAAGCAUUAGGGUUGUGUCUCAAUUGAACCAGGACUGAACCGUGUCCUCUUGGCUGCCACUGGAAGGAAUUUGAUUUCCUCACUCAUAAUUUGUUUAAAUCUGAUUUUGGCCACUCUCAUAAAAAAAAAAUAUAUAGGAUAGAGGGUCCAGGCAUCAUAUUUUAUUAUCAUCUAGUUUACUGACAAUAUCCUUUCUGUCUAUAUCCUGUGUGAAUUCUCCAUCCAGGAAGAUACUUAUGACCAAGGCCAUAUACACUGAACACAUGUUCUCCAUUGUACCACAUCAGUACUGUAGAAAGUAAAUACAGUAUGAUUUAAUCAGUUUAGGAGUAUGUCUGAGGCUUUGGAUGUUCCUUUCCUGUCGUGUGCAGCUCAGCUCAGCGAAGGGCAGUGAGGAUGCUUCAUGAUGUAUCACUCUAGCUUUGCAUAUGCAUCAUUUCAAGACUAGAGGAAGUUCCACUGCUGUCCAGGUCUCCUAUGUCCUUUGAGGUUUUGUAUUUGCAACACUUCCCUCACACAUGUAUGAUUGGCUUAAAUUAUAUCGCAGCUUUUGAAAAAGAAAUCCCUCUACUAAUCCUUUUAGGAACAUUAUGUUUGGCCUCUGAUACAUGCAUUGGUCCAUCAGCUUGGAAAACACCAGCCUUCUAAUGACCGAAGGAUUAUGAAUCUAUUGCACAGUGUUGCAGAAGUGCUCUUGUGGCUAUAAAAGUGUUUCUUCAUUCACUCGCAGGCUCGAUGUCAGAAUGGCUCAGUGUGGGUUUGGGGGUCUCUUGCCUCCAGCACCAAACAAGUGAGAAUCUCAGAGAUGUCGAAGGCCCAGCUCCAUCACCCGCUGACCGCUCCCAGCCUCCUCCUUUGCACACACUGGGAGUUUCUUUCUUGAAGCGAAGCACUCUUGGACGGUUCACCCCAACACAUUGGACUGUUCCAUUAUAAGUCUGCACAAUUAUUAUUUUAAUAUAAUUUAUCAGAUUAAUUUCUGUCUCUAUUGAAGUUAAUAAAAGCCUCACUAAUGACUUGAGGACUUUGCAAAAUAUCUUCAAUUAUUAUUUAAAAUUAUUAGAAUUUUACAUAUUUAAAGACCCUACCUAUUAAAUUAGAUGGAUUAUGUAUGUUGCCUUAUACUCUAUGUAAUCUUACAGAAAUUAACUCUUAGCACUACUGAAGCAGACAGCAGAAUUUAUAUUGAUGCCAGUGGGGCCAACAUUUUUACCCCCAGUUUCUUCUCCCAAAUCUACUAAGCGUUUCCAGUGACUCUGAACAAAUCAGCAUCUCAGUAUUACCUACUGUCUAAGACUUGGAAUCAUUUUUCUCUCGGUCACAGUGGUAUUGUAGGGCCCUUGAUAUUUGGAAAAUGCUUUGAGGUUCAGACUGCUAUAGCUGUACUAACCAUCACUGGUUAUUAUUUUCCUGCCACCAAUGCCUUAUCCUCAAGGUGUGAAUAGCAGUGUCUAGUAGAAAGGUUACACAACUGUUUCUAUUGUAAAACCGUAUUUGCCAUUAUUUUAUGUUGAAGUUUAGCCAUUCAAAUUAAAUGGCACAUGCCAGACAACUGCCUUAA